UGGGGAAUAUUGCACAAUGGAGGGAACUCUGAUGCAGCAACGCCGCGUGCGGGAUGACGGCCUUCGAGUUGUAAACCGCUUUCAGCCAUGACGAAGCUUUUGUGACGGUAGUGGUAGAAGAAGCACCGGCUAACUACGUGCCAGCAGCCGCGGUGAUACGUAGGGUGCGAGCGUUGUCCGGAAUUAUUGGGCGUAAAGAGCUUGUAGGCGGUUUGUCGCGUCGAUAGUGUAAACACGCAGCUUAACUGUGUGCCUGCUGUCGAUACGGGCUGACUAGAGGAGGGUAGGGGAGAAUGGAAUUCCCGGUGGAGCGGUGGAAUGCGCAGAUAUCGGGAGGAACACCAGUGGCGAAGGCGGUUCUCUGGACCUUUCCUGACGCUGAGAAGCGAAAGCGUGGGUAGCAAACAGG
rnacentral:rRNA from 1 species